GAUGAAGAACGUAGCGAAAUGCGAUACGUAAUGUGAAUUGCAGAAUUCAGUGAAUCAUCGAAUCUUUGAACGCAUAUUGCGCUCUCUGGUAUUCCGGAGAGCAUGCUUGUUUGAGUAUCAGUAAACACCUCAACUUCCAUAUCUUUUUUGAAAUGGGAGUUGGACUUGAGUGAUCCCAACGCUUUUCCUCACCGAAAAGUGGCGGGUUACUUGAAAUGCAGGUGCAGCUGGACUUUUCUCUGAGCUAUAAGCAUAUCUAUUUAGUCUGCCUAAAAAACAGAUUAUUACCUUUGCUGCAGCUAACAUAAAGGAGAUUAGUUCUUGUGCUGACUGAUGCAGGAUUCACAAAGACGGCUUCGGCCGACUUUGUAAACUCGAUCUCAAAUCAAGUAAGACUACCCGCUGAACUUAGGCAUAUCAAUAAGCGGAGGA
rnacentral:misc_RNA from 1 species